CAGGCCCACCUGCUCAGGACCUGAGGGUGGCCUUUGCACAAGAGGGACUGUGGCUCUCGGUCCAAACCCCAGGAGCUGAACCCUGCCCACACCGGAUAAGUGGCCUUGGACCCAGCUCUCUCCCCACCAGCCUUCAGACAACACCACAGCCUUGGCCACUGGCUCGCAGCCUUGUGAGAGGCCCUGAAGGAGAGGCCCCACUAGGCUGUGCCCAGGAGCUAUGGUUGACCAGAGCAAGCGGCUCCUUGCAGAGGACUCCAGCCAGCAGACGAGGAAACGCUGGCAGGAUGCGAGCAGCACCGUUCUGCAGACCCCGGCAGGGAUCCAUGGGUGUGAGUUCUCACGGGUGCACACCACCCCUGAAGUAGUCUCACCCACUGAACACUGAGCCCACAUCUGACCAGACUUCUGGACCAACUGCCAAUUUAUGUAAAGUACAGGGGACUGAGGAGCGUGCCGGCUGAUUGCACGAGGACAGGGUCGCAAACACGACAUGGGAGAAGCCACAUGAUAAACACCCAGUUCCUCUUCCAUGACGACAGCACGUCAGACAAAAGAUAAGACUGAGCAUCAGAGUGAUGGGUGGAGACUUGAGCCCUGACUACCGUCCGUCCUCAAGGUGCCCCUGUGGCCAGCGGCUGGAGGGCCCUGCAUCUCGGUGACUGGGUCCUGGAGCCCACGGAGCAGCAGGUGCGGCUCGGCCUCUUCACACCUCCGGGAGCCAGGCGCAGCAUGUGCUGAGCGAGGGUAUGGCCCCAGACCCCCGGGCCCCGCAAGCCUGCCCACCACAUUUCCUGCCUCUGAGCCCACAGAGGCUUCCCUGGCUGCUGACAGGAUACUUCCCAUGAGGGUGGGUGGGGGCCAGACAAAAAUGGAACCAUGGUUGAGCACCAAGAUUCUUGAAGUCUGCUGGAAAUUCCACGCAAUGGAGUGGAAUUUAACUCUGCAGCAGCCGUCCAAGAACAGCCAAGUACACACCAUCAUGGCAUGCGGUCAGUGCCACAGUGCUCCAAAAGAUUGUGAGGUGGGGGGGUCUAGCCAAGGCCAUACCAGGGUGGGAAGCAAGCUGUAAAAUGGCGACAUCAGAAAAAGCAAAUCAGAAGUAAACACACAUAACUGAAAACAAGAUCCCAGAGGCAGCGAGGCUAGGAAGAUGCCAAUUGAUUUUCUGCUGAGCACCUGCUUCCAGGACCCGCAGCCAGCAGAGCAAUCUCGCUCGGCCACCUGACAGCAACGCCUGCCUGCCCUGCCAGCCAGGACUCUCAAUAUUGAACCAACUUACUAGGAUUCACAGGAAAACACUUAACCCAUUUCAAAUCGAUUGCAAACAUUCCAUUUCUGAGUUUCUUCUGAAAAUAUCUCUGCCUCUGUAAUUCACCCUGUUGUUUUCCAUGGAGUGUUUGGCUGUGGAUAACAGUAGACUUUUCUGUUUCUCUAAACUUCUCCAUCUCCUGGUAGCUGCAGAGAGAGAUUUGGACAAAAUGCAAGAUUUCAAAUUACCCGGUCAAAGUGUUUUGAAUUUUUUUAGUCCAUAGACAACUUCUCAGAGCCCAUGACCCUUCAGACCACUGAGCACAGGCUACCCUGCCAGUCCUGAAAAAAUUGUUAAGAAUUAAAGAGAAAACCAGCAACCUUUUCCCAAUGUUGUGGAAUCUAAAUUGUGGACAGCAGAAGUCCCAAACAAGGUCCCUCUUCUGCCAACUGGUGGCCAAGGUGAUGGCCAGACUCCUGGUGCUCGAAGGGCUUCCACUGACCAAAAUGACAGCCCCUCCCCCUCCCCUUAAAAAAAAGGUAUAACAAGGUCCCCAAGAGUCAGUGUUACCAUGAGGAGGUGCAGGAGGGUGGGGG